UUUUUUUUUUUUAAACUCAAUAUAGGAGCUGUGUCUACAAUUAAAAGUGAAACAUUUUGGCAUGUUUGUUAAUUCUAGUUUCAUUUAAUAACCUGUAAGGCACGUAAGUUUAAGCUUUUUUUAAGUUAAUGGGAAAAAAUUGAGACGCAAUACCAGUUCUUUAGGAUUUUGGUCUUGGUGUUUGUAUGAAAUUCUGAGGCCUUGAUUUAAAUCUUUCAUUGUAUUGUGAUUUCCUUUUAGGUAUAUUGCGCUAAGUGAAACUUGUCAAAUAAAUCCUCCUUUUAAAAACUGUACUGUCUUUGCUUCAGUGUCAUGUGGACUGAGUCUUGGUGCUCUGUGCCCACCUGGGGACUAGGGCUACAUUUCUGGCUGUGGCAGAGAGGCUUGGUAGCUGAGGCUGUUGUAUAGAGGUCUUCAGACUUCCCUCCAGUGCAACUUAAGAUGUGGUCUCACAGGACUGUCAUGAAGGGCCCUUCCCUGGUUGGGCUGAAGCUGGAGUCCCGUGUCCUAGCUCUGUGCUCCGCCUCCUGGGCUCUGCAAGCUGCCCCGGGGCCUCAAGGCAGUCUCCAGCAUCCACUCACUCAGGUGCACCCCCACUUUCAAUCAGUUCCCUUUGAUUGAAGUAAGUAGAGUGAGCUUCUGGUGCCUGCAACCCCAGACCCUGCCUGAGACACUGCCCGAAGUGACUAGCUGGACUGGCAGGUGUGGGAGAAGGGCCAAAUCUGAGUAAGAUUAGGACACUUGGUGACGCUGAUCCCUGUGGAGAGACAGAAGGCAAUGGACAGCAGGCACCAUGUCCCAUGGGCCUGAGGAAGCCCUUCUCCAUACGGGCCAAAGCCCUAUCCCCGAACAGCCCUGGGAAGCAGAUGGAUUCUAUUCCACAGGGGAGGCGGCUGAGGCUUUGAAAGGUGGCUCUUAGGCGGGCUUUAUCAGGGAGAAGCAGCACCUAUGAUUUAUUCAGCCUUAGGGACAGGGGUGCUCCAGGAGCAUGAGGUACUUUUUCUGGCCUGUUUGCAUCUGCUGGAAGUGAUUUUCUUGCUGACAAACAGAUCCUCAUGACUGAACUAGAGUCGCACACCCGAGGCUGCCAGUGUGUACCCAGGAUGUUCAUCCUCAUGUCAAAGAGCUUUGGGAGCUCUAGAAUCCUGUUUUAUGAUUCUUAUCCGCCCUCUGAUGCUGUGAAACUGAUGUUACCUAGAAGUUCAGGCUGCUGUUAGACGCCCAGAGAUAUUAGGGUCCCUGCUGUGCACCAGGUGGAAGAGUGCCAUGUGGAAAAGGACUGCUUUUGCACUGCUGCCAGGCACAGCUGAGGCGAAAGGACAGAUGCUCCUACAGGCAAGGCCAUUCUGAAAGCCAGGCUGCUCUGCCCCCAAAUGUCUGCCUCCUCUCCCAAGCUCUCUGCCCUACAGGUCAGCCUGGCACCUGCACGCGCACUGGGCCACCUGCAAGCUCCUGCUCUUCAGUGGAAUGUGUCAUUCCGCCCUCCUCAAAAUGGUGUGGAAACCUGGCCCAGCUCAGGGUUUGGCUUGAGUGGUUCCUAGCAAUGGCACAGGGCACUGCAGUGGGGCUUGCUGACCUCUGGCCUCUGACUUCAACAGAAGGGCCUGGUUUCCACUGUUUAAAGACAACUGCGAGAGAGGGUCUCUCCUCCCUGCCACCUGCUUCCCUUUAGGAAUACCCAUUAGGCUUAUUGUCAAAGCACAGCUCAUGGCGGAAGAACUGCAGUCAGAAGACCUAGGUUCAGCUUUGGCCCUGCCACCAGUCAUCAUUGUCCUCUCAGCUGAGGGACACAUUUCUGAGCAGCGUUUGGCUUCUCUAUAAAUAUGUCAUCACCACCACUGCCUCAACCACACACUCUCACCUGACUGUUGGGAUGCUUAAAUGUACAAGCACAUAGGCAAUCAGUGCAAGCUGACAGUGAGGUGGUUCUUAGCAAGCCAGUACCUUCAGUGCCUGGUUCACUUCUUUUAUGUCUUCCAUCUUCAGCUUGGACCUAAGGGAAAAAAGGCCAUAUCAUAGCCGAGAGAGCGAGGCCCUGAAUCCCUAACACAGCCAGUACUCAUGACUAGCUCCAUGAGGAUAACGGACUUGUGAGGAGACCCAGAAUAUGAGAUGUUCUAAAAUGCCUUCUGCCUUUGUACAAUCCCAGAGUUGCCUCAUCACACUGGCCUCCAUGUCUACUGAGGGCCGAGGCCGAGGCUGGGGGCUGCAACUGGCACAAAAACAUACUGCUUAGCCUGCAGCGGGUGAAAGAUUUUGAGGGAGGCUGAGGCAAGAGGUUCGCCUAAGGCCAGAAGUCCAAGGCCUGGCCCUGUUCUGCACUAGUCUCUACUGCUCUCCACAGCAGGAACCUGAGUCUGCAGGCUUCUCCCUGGCCUCCAUUCUGCUGCCUGCUGCCUGGAAGGGGCAGGCUCAGAGGGCACAGCCAUUUGUUCUUGCUCCAUUCUUGUUAGCAUCAGAACAACAAUUCCUUUUUUCUGUAAGAGGGCUGAACAUGGUCUAAAUUGGCAGAACUAAGGCAAAUAAAAUGAGCAGUUUGUGCAA